rnacentral:tRNA from 1 species
GCCGAUGUAGCUCAGGGGUAGAGCAGCUGAUUCGUAAUCAGCAGGCCGUGGGUUCAAAUCCCAUCAUCGGCU